UCACCGGCAGAAGGGGAAGGAGAGCCGGCACCUGGCCGUGGCCUACACGGCGGGACAGACGGACACCUCCGACUACGUGGUGCCAGAUGUGCCACCGAGCCACACGCACUACUACUCCAACCCCAGCUACCACACGCUGUCCCAGUGCACGCUGCCGGCACCCGGCCCCGGCGCCCAGGACAGAGCCGGCUCCCUCAAGGUUCCCGGCACCCAGCUCUUCCCCGGCGCAGAGAGACCCUACGGCCCCGACGGCAACGCCACACUGCCCCCCGACUGGAAGC